GCUGGUGUGGUCUAUCGGUUAGGAUAGAAGGCUGUGGACCUUCUGAACGGGGUUCAAUUCCCCGCACCGGCC
rnacentral:tRNA from 1 species